CCUGGCGGCCGUAGCGCGGUGGUCCCACCUGACCCCAUGCCGAACUCAGAAGUGAAACGCCGUAGCGCCGAUGGUAGUGUAGGGUCUCCCCAUGCGAGAGUAGGGAACUGCCAGAC
rnacentral:rRNA from 1 species